GAUGAACGCUAGCUACAGGCUUAACACAUGCAAGUCGCGGGGCAGCAUGGGGGUUGCUUGCAAUCCCCGAUGGCGACCGGCGCACGGGUGAGUAACGCGUAUCCAACCUGCCCUUCACCACGGGAUAACCCGGCGAAAGUCGGACUAAUACCGUAUGUUGUCCAUUGAUGGCAUCCGAUUUGGACGAAAGGUUUGGCGGUGAAGGAUGGGGAUGCGUCCGAUUAGCUGGACGGCGGGGUGACGGCCCACCGUGGCGACGAUCGGUAGGGGUUCUGAGAGGAAGGUCCCCCACACUGGAACUGAGACACGGUCCAGACUCCUACGGGAGGCAGCAGUGAGGAAUAUUGGUCAAUGGGCGUAAGCCUGAACCAGCCAAGUAGCGUGCAGGAUGACGGCCCUAUGGGUUGUAAACUGCUUUUAUGCGGGGAUAAAGUGGCCCACGUGUGGGUUUUUGCAGGUACCGCAUGAAUAAGGACCGGCUAAUUCCGUG
rnacentral:rRNA from 1 species